AUUGAACGCUGGCGGCAGGCUUAACACAUGCAAGUCGAGCGAGUGGCGGACGGGUGAGUAAUGUCUGGGAAACUGCCUGAUGGAGGGGGAUAACUACUGGAAACGGUAGCUAAUACCGCAUACCAUCAGAUGGGCCCAGAUGGGAUUAGCUAGUAGGUGGGGUAAUGGCGCACCUAGGCGACGAUCCCUAGCUGGUCUGAGAGGAUGACCAGCAAAACUGGAACUGAGACACGGUCCAGACUCCUACGGGAGGCAGCAGUGGGGAAUAUUGCACAAUGGGCGAAAGCCUGAUGCAGCCAUGCCGCGUGUGUGAAGAAGGCCUUAGGGUUGUAAAGCACUUUCAGCGAGGAGGCGUUACUCGCAGAAGAAGCACCGGCUAACUCCGUGCCAGCAGCCGCGGUAAUAC
rnacentral:rRNA from 1 species